CCGUUGUGGCCAUGAAAACAUCCAAAAGAUGACAUCGACAUGUGAAAUAUAUUGUGAUAGUGUGGUUUUAGCUGCUGGCUAAUGUUAGCUUGCUGGCACACUAGCUAACUGGUAAUAAAAAAAAACGUGAUUAUGUUGGGAAAACUGCAGUUAUUUUAUUAGAAUGACAUGAAUAGCAUUAAACGUUACUAAACGUAACGUGAAUACACUUGAAUGGGUAAACUCGUCCGUGAAGAGAUGCAUUGUUUCUAUCCAGC